rnacentral:rRNA from 1 species
UACGUAGGGGGCAAGCGUUGUUCGGAAUUAUUGGGCGUAAAGGGUGCGUAGGCGGUUUGGUAAGUCUGAUGUGAAAUCUAUGGGCUCAACUCAUAGUCUGCAUCGGAAACUGCCGGGCUUGAGUAUGGGAGAGGUGAGUGGAAUUCCUGGUGUAGCGGUGAAAUGCGUAGAUAUCAGGAGGAACACCUGUGGCGAAAGCGGCUCACUGGACCAUAACUGACGCUGAUGCACGAAAGCUAGGGGAGCAAACAGG